rnacentral:rRNA from 1 species
AACUUGGGAGUCAGAACAUGGGUGAUAAGGUCCGUGUUCGAAAGGGAAACAGCCCAGACCACCAGCUAAGGUCCCAAAAUAUAUGUUAAGUGGAAAAGGAUGUGGCGUUGCCCAGACAACUAGGAUGUUGGCUUAGAAGCAGCCAUCAUUUAAAGAGUGCGUAAUAGCUCACUAGUCGAGUGACACUGCGCCGAAAAUGUACCGGGGCUAAACAUAUUACCGAAGCUGUGGAUUGUCCUUUGGACAAUGGUAGGAGAGCGUUCUAAGGGCGUUGAAGCAUGAUCGUAAGGACAUGUGGAGCGCUUAGAAGUGAGAAUGCCGGUGUGAGUAGCGAAAGACGGGUGAGAAUCCCGUCCACCGAUUGACUAAGGUUUCCAGAGGAAGGCUCGUCCGCUCUGGGUUAGUCGGGUCCUAAGCUGAGGCCGACAGGCGUAGGCGAUGGAUAACAGGUUGAUAUUCCUGUACCACCUAUAAUCGUUUUAAUCGAUGGGGGGACGCAGUAGGAUAGGCGAAGCGUGCGAUUGGAUUGCACGUCUAAGCAGUAAGGCUGAGUAUUAGGCAAAUCCGGUACUCGUUAAGGCUGAGCUGUGAUGGGGAGAAGACAUUGUGUCUUCGAGUCGUUGAUUUCACACUGCCGAGAAAAGCCUCUAGAUAGAAAAUAGGUGCCCGUACCGCAAACCGACACAGGUAGUCAAGAUGAGAAUUCUAAGGUGAGCGAGCGAACUCUCGUUAAGGAACUCGGCAAAAUGACCCCGUAACUUCGGGAGAAGGGGUGCUCUUUAGGGUUAACGCCCAGAAGAGCCGCAGUGAAUAGGCCCAAGCGACUGUUUAUCAAAAACACAGGUCUCUGCUAAACCGUAAGGUGAUGUAUAGGGGCUGACGCCUGCCCGGUGCUGGAAGGUUAAGAGGAGUGGUUAGCUUCUGCGAAGCUACGAAUCGAAGCCCCAGUAAACGGCGGCCGUAACUAUAACGGUCCUAAGGUAGCGAAAUUCCUUGUCGGGUAAGUUCCGACCCGCACGAAAGGCGUAACGAUUUGGGCACUGUCUCAACGAGAGACUCGGUGAAAUCAUAGUACCUGUGAAGAUGCAGGUUACCCGCGACAGGACGGAAAGACCCCGUGGAGCUUUACUGUAGCCUGAUAUUGAAAUUCGGCACAGCUUGUACAGGAUAGGUAGGAGCCUUUGAAACGUGAGCGCUAGCUUACGUGGAGGCGCUGGUGGGAUACUACCCUAGCUGUGUUGGCUUUCUAACCCGCACCACUUAUCGUGGUGGGAGACAGUGUCAGGCGGGCAGUUUGACUGGGGCGGUCGCCUCCUAAAAGGUAACGGAGGCGCUCAAAGGUUCCCUCAGAAUGGUUGGAAAUCAUUCAUAGAGUGUAAAGGCAUAAGGGAGCUUGACUGCGAGACCUACAAGUCGAGCAGGGUCGAAAGACGGACUUAGUGAUCCGGUGGUUCCGCAUGGAAGGGCCAUCGCUCAACGGAUAAAAGCUACCCCGGGGAUAACAGGCUUAUCUCCCCCAAGAGUUCACAUCGACGGGGAGGUUUGGCACCUCGAUGUCGGCUCAUCGCAUCCUGGGGCUGUAGUCGGUCCCAAGGGUUGGGCUGUUCGCCCAUUAAAGCGGUACGCGAGCUGGGUUCAGAACGUCGUGAGACAGUUCGGUCCCUAUCCGUCGUGGGCGUAGGAAAUUUGAGAGGAGCUGUCCUUAGUACGAGAGGACCGGGAUGGACAUACCUCUGGUGUACCAGUUGUCGUGCCAACGGCAUAGCUGGGUAGCUAUGUGUGGACGGGAUAAGUGCUGAAAGCAUCUAAGCAUGAAGCCCCCCUCAAGAUGAGAUUUCCCAACUUCGGUUAU